AUUUCCUGCUUUUGAAACAAUACUGUAGAAUGGAUGCAACGAAGGGACAGCAUACGAUACAUUUCCCAUGUCUGUUGAUCCAGCAGGCUAUGUACCCAGAAUCUAUCAAGAAAAACAAGCAUGGAGUUGAUGGAUGAAAUGACGAGCUGGAAAACAAGCUGGUAUCCAGUUUUAUCCUGUGAAUGAAGUUGAGGGACUGUUAUUCCUGACCAUUUUGAAUUAUUACUAUUGAUCAAUCUCAUGAGUAAUAUUUACCA